UUGGUACCUCUAAUCCCAUGGAGUGGCACCAGGUUUGGCAGGUGUCUUGUCAACGAUAGUGUUCUCGUCAUGCCUCUGGACCUGUGGAGUGGCAUCAGUCUUGGGUGUGAACAUCACUGGAAAAAGUGAUCAUAUACUGCACAAUGCAAAGGGCCACAGCUUGGAGUCACAUGUAGACCAGACUGGAAGAUACAAAAGUGUGCGAGCAUGUGCCACUGGACUUGAGGACAGUUUCAAUCCUGCUGUUACAGGACUCUUGGAAGGAUCUCUCAUAUGUUGAAAGGGGCACCAUUGAGAGCAUACUGACAAGUUGUAUUUCCAUCUGGUAUGGGAGCAGCAGAGCCUCUGACUGGAAGUCCCUGUGGGAAUGGCCAAGAAGAUCAUCGGGGUCUCCCUACUAUCCAUCGUUGACAUUUACCAGGAACAGGGCUCUUGGUAUUAUCAAGGAUCCCACCCAUCCCUCCAGCAUCCUCUUUGACUUCCUACCAUCAGGCAGGAGACUCCGAUGCUCAAAGACAAGAACGGUCAGGAUCAGAAGCAGCUUCUUUCCUCAGGCUGUUAGGCUUCUGAACUCCCUGUCGCAUUGCUUUCAAAGUGUCAACAGUUAGUACUUUACAAGGUUUAAUUUAUGCACUUUGUUUAUUUAUGUGUAAUUCAUUUGUAGAUUGCAUUCUGCCUGCACUGCCAUUUCAUCAUGGCUGAUCCAUUUUUCCUCUCAGUCCCAGUCUCCUGGCUUCUUCCCGUAUCCCUUUAUGCCCCAUUCUUUCAGUCCAGAUGAAAGGUCUUGACCUGGAACGUUAACUCUCCAUUUCAGAUUUUUUUCUCAGAAUUUACUGCUUUAAUUUCAGAUUUCCAAAGUCUUCCUUUUUAACUUCUAUUUUCAAAAUCCCAUUGUACCUUAGUCUGUGGAAGAAUUCAAGAAGCAGGAGACUAGUUUCUGGAACUUGCUACUAUGAUUGUAAAUUAGGAAGCCCUGACCUGACCACAGUUCGUUACUUUUACUGGACCAAUACCACAAGAGACAU